ensembl:lncRNA
GACCAUAGCUGAAGCACCGGCGGGUAAACAGAGCAGGCCGAGAAGUCAAACAGAACCACCAGGGCAACUCCAUUUUAGGAAAAAAACUGCACCCCAGCCCCCUGCUUUGUGUAUAGUAUUGGUAACAGCUUCCAAAUGGCUUGCUUUUCUCUCAUAGACGGCUCUCUGAUCUUCAUGGCGGUUUAUCCUUUUUAAGAAAAAAUGCAGUCUUCACAGUAACAGUCAGGGGUGGAACUUGGCCUGGGCAUGGGCAAGAUUUCUUCUUUAGCCCCGAAUAAUUUUCCACUUGGAGCAGUUUGUCACUACACCACUGAAUAUCAGUCAAAGAAGACGACAGUGUUGUGAUUUUGUAUCUUCAGUGAACGGAGUGUUGUAUUUUAUCUUCAGUGAACAGAGGUGAGACCAAUCAGACAGGAUUUACAGGAAAAUAUGUGGAAAUACUCGUGUCUUGUUGGCUAACAGGUCUCAAUCAUGCCAAACGCUAGCUCACACAGUCAGUUAGUGUGAGGGGAAAAUGGAUGUAUGCCAACUUCAAAAAGAAUACCAGUAAAAGGGUUCAAAUUGAAACACUAACAUCCUCUCAUGCUGAGCAGGAAAAUAAUGUGUGUAAAUGCCUACAUGAUUGUGAUAUGAGAAGAGCAUAAGGACAGAUAAUGUACUAUGCAUGGCUCUGUAGCAGAUAAACCCAUACAAUGAUAGCUUAGUUGUGCCUCUCCUUGGCUAGCGACACCAAACUAGUCUAGUCUCGUAUUAGAUAGCCUAAAUGUUUUAUAUUUUAUCAGUCUGGUAGCCCUGCAAACAGUGAUAACACAUGAGGCAAGUUUUAUAAUAAAUCCAACUUCUUGUCCAAUUUUCACAUUUUUAAAGCAAUUAGCUCUCACGUGCAAGAAAAAAAUGUCUACUUAGGACAUGCUUUUAAAAGUUUUUUCAUGGAUAAGAAUCUGGGCUCAACAGUCCAAUAACGCCCCUGGUAACAGUCCUAUUGUAACAUCUUAUUGGCAAAAAUCAUAAAGACGGACACUCCGCAUAAUCUAAAGCUAAUAAUACAAAGUGUUUUGUUAUUUAACAAAGGAUAUGGUGACAUUUUCUAUGCAGAGAUGUUUGUUUAUCAUCAAUGGAAGGAGUCUCAAGUAUCAGUCAGAAGUAAAGGUUUUCCACCACUGGAAAGGACAAGUUUUUUUCCUUUAAUUUGUCACACACCAGUAUAUAUAAUACUGUAUAUUCACACGUCUCUAAAAAUUCUCUAAAAAAACAAAACAGCACAUAUAGUAAACAUAUUAAAC